rnacentral:tRNA from 1 species
CUUCCGUGGCGCAAUUGGCUAGCGCGUCUGACUGUUAAUCAGGAGGUUGGUGGUUCGAGCCCCACCCCGGGAG